rnacentral:rRNA from 1 species
AUACGGAGGGUGCAAGCGUUAUUCGGAAUCACUGGGCGUAAAGGACGCGUAGGCGGGUUGGCAAGUCAGAUGUGAAAUCCUACAGCUUAACUGUAGAACUGCAUUUGAAACUGCUAACCUAGAGUAUGGGAGGGGGAGAUGGAAUUAGAGGUGUAGGGGUAAAAUCCGUAGAUAUCACUAGGAAUACCGAAAGCGAAGGCGAUCUCCUGGAACAUAACUGACGCUAAGGCGUGAAAGCGUGGGGAGCAAACAGGAUUAGAAACCCCAGUAGUCC